GACGAACGCUGGCGGCGUGCUUAACACAUGCAAGUCGAACGGAAAGGCCCUGCUUUUGUGGGGUGCUCGAGUGGCGAACGGGUGAGUAACACGUGAGUAACCUGUCCUUGACUUUGGGAUAACUUCAGGAAACUGGGGCUAAUACCGGAUAGGAGCUCCUGCUGCAUGGUGGGGGUUGGAAAGUUUCGGCGGUUGGGGAUGGACUCGCGGCUUAUCAGCUUGUUGGUGGGGUAGUGGCUUACCAAGGCUUUGACGGGUAGCCGGCCUGAGAGGGUGACCGGCCACAUGGGGACUGAGAUACGGCCCAGACUCCUACGGUAGGCAGCAGUGGGGAAUAUUGCACAGUGGGCGGAAGCCUGAUGCAGCAACGCCGCGUGCGGGAUGACGGCCUUCGGGUUGUAAACCGCUUUCGCCUGUGACGAAGCGUGAGUGACGGUAAUGGGUAAAGAAGCACCGGCUAACUACGUG
rnacentral:rRNA from 1 species